GUUGAACGCUGGCGGCAGGCCUAACACAUGCAAGUCGAACGGUAGCACAGAGAGCUUGCUCUCGGGUGACGAGUGGCGGACGGGUGAGUAAUGUCUGGGAAACUGCCCGAUGGAGGGGGAUAACUACUGGAAACGGUAGCUAAUACCGCAUAACGUCGCAAGACCAAAGAGGGGGGACCUUCGGGCCUCUUGCCAUCGGAUGUGCCCAGAUGGGAUUAGCUUGUAGGCG
rnacentral:rRNA from 1 species